rnacentral:misc_RNA from 1 species
AGGUGUCAAAAGCAUGCAUGUCGCUGUGCAUGUGGGUGCACGCCAUGUACAAGUUCUACCACGUCAAUAAAGCUGUGGCUCCAAAGAAGGAAGCUCUUGAACGCGCUACGAAAGAAUUAGCAGCCGUUGAAGCCGUAUUAGCCAACGCAAGAGCGAAAAUGCAAGCUUUACUGGAAGGUAUCGCGAAACUAAACGCCUACC